rnacentral:lncRNA from 1 species
GCUUUCCCGCCAAUACCCCGGCAGUCAUUGAUCUAUUUUAAUCCUCAAAGAGGCCUGAAAGCAAGCAGAAGGCCAGGACAACAGAAAACACAAGAUCAAAAUGGUCUGAAGUCAAGAUGCUUUCAAAGCAAACCAACAUAAUGAAUGCAAACCAAAACCCCAGAAGAUAAUAUACAGAGGAGCGAGCUGGAUGUUGCUGAGGGAGCGCCACAUUGGCCUUAGUCCCGCUGAGGUCUACCUUGAAAAGAAAACAGAACUACAUCUUAGUAAUGAAACUGCUGCUCUCUGUUUUGCAAACUUGCAGUAUUCUAUACAAUGCCUUGUUCUGUCCACGAAGGAAGAAGCCAAAGACGAUAACAUUUUAAUAACAUUAGGUUGUAUAAAUUUUUUUGACAUAGUGCAUAUGGGAUGAAAUAUAUGAUUGUAUUAGAAAUAAUUGAAGUCACGUGCCAAAAAUGGAAAUAGGACUCAUUGUUUUUAAUCUGAUCAAGUUCCAUUAAUCACCAAAAGUCCUUCACAACUAACUCCAUUACUAAUAUACUAAAUAUUGUAUUUAUUGGGUUUUAGCACAA